GGCACCGUGGCCGAGAGGUUAGGCAUAGGUCUGCAACACCUUAUACAACGGUUCGAAUCCGUUCGGUGCCU
rnacentral:tRNA from 1 species